rnacentral:snoRNA from 7 species
AUUUAAUUCAUGUCUCUUCUCUGACAUUCUCCUCUGGAGAUGAUUUUUGCCUUAUUGAUCUGAU